AUGAGUGGAGGACCAAGUCCAGCAGCAGGCCGGCCGCGUCGAUCGCAUUGGAGCGGGUCGGGUGCGCGAGCUGCGGCGUGCUGGACAUGGACGUCGUGGGUGUGUGGGCGUGGCAUCGUGUGCGAGCUAGAGCGCCAUAUAAACCCACCCCUCCUGUACUCUCUCCUCAACGGGGUUGCCAAACCAUGUAGCCAGUGGGUUCAGCUCGAGUACGUGCUCGAGGGAAAAGAUGUCGUACGCGCGGCGGGUGGAGUUCGGGCUCCAGGAAAAACACCACCAUGUCAUCUUUGUGCUCGGGUUCUUCUCCACUUCCUUCUUCUUCGUUGGUUCGUGCCACGGCAAGUGAGGGCGAGCUAG
rnacentral:rRNA from 1 species